CUCAGACAAGCAUUUUAAAAUCCUGUUUUCUUUGUAAUAAUGUAGCUGACAGUGAUCUUGUUAGAAACACAGCUGAGUUAGUCUGAUUUAUAAAAUGGGUGAAUAAUAAUAACGAAACCAGAAAAGUUAUCUUUAAAUGACCUGAUCUAUGCAUGAUGUUAUAUCUUGUCACUUAGGAAAGCAAACACUCACCUUUGUGAUAGUCUUAAGAACCUGAAGAAAGCAUAAGGCUUGUGUCCAAAACAGGUUCAUGCUGCACAACAUCCGCGAGAUCACACCUUAUCUGACAGAAUAUGCAGCACAACUUCUGGUUCAGGCUUUGGUCUCAUCACAUCUGGCCGUCUGACAGGAGAACCCACAUGUGCUAUCAAGCCGCUGCAGAUCACCUGAAGAGAAACCAGAAUAAAAUACUACCUGACGUUCCUGUACCACUUCCCUAGCCACACUUCCCAUUGACAUCUUUGAUCCUGGACCCACCUUUUCCUCCCCUGCCUCUAUAAGAACCCAGCACCUUCCCUCCUUAGUUUGUCCCUAUUUGGACACAGAACCAGAGAGUGCUCUGGUGCCAUUAUUUCCUGAACUGUGUUGUACAAUAUAUGGGGUGGAUUCCAAGAAAUCUUUUUCUGUUCUACCUUUGUGUUUUGACACAAGCUUUUUUGUCUCAGCGGAAAAAUCUUAUAAGCAGGUAGCAAAAGACUAUGCCUUCAUUUUGUUUCUUUUUGAUUUCAUUGUCAUCUAGCAGAAAUUAAAAGGAUACCAAAUACUGUAGAUCCCAU